UACGUAGGGGGCAAGCGUUGUCCGGAAUCAUUGGGCGUAAAGCGCGUGUAGGCGGCCAGAUAAGUCCGCUGUGAAAUCUCGAGGCUCAACUUCGAGCUGUCGGUGGAAACUGUCUGGCUAGAGUCCGGAAGAGGAGAAUGGAAUUCCUGGUGUAGCGGUGAAAUGCGCAGAUAUCAGGAAGAACACCCGUGGCGAAGGCGGUUCUCUGGGACGGUACUGACGCUGAGACGCGAAAGCGUGGGGAGCGAAAGG
rnacentral:rRNA from 1 species